CUCCGCCGGCGACCGGCGCACGGGUGAGUAACACGUAUGCAACCUGCCCCUGUCAGGGGGACAACCGCCGAAAGGCGGGCUAAACCCGCGUACAUGCCACCGGGGCAUCCCGGAGGCAGGAAAGGCUUCGGCCGGACAGGGAUGGGCAUGCGGCGCAUUAGGCAGUAGGCGGGGUAACGGCCCACCUAACCGACGAUGCGUAGGGGUUCUGAGAGGAAGGUCCCCCACACUGGUACUGAGACACGGACCAGACUCCUACGGGAGGCAGCAG
rnacentral:rRNA from 1 species